GACGUAGGGCGCGAGCGUUAUCCGGAAUUAUUGGGCGUAAAGAGCUCGUAGGCGGUUUGUCGCGUCUGCUGUGAAAACUGGAGGCUCAACCUCCAGCCUGCAGUGGGUACGGGCAGACUAGAGUGCGGUAGGGGAGAUUGGAAUUCCUGGUGUAGCGGUGAAAUGCGCAGAUAUCGGGAGGAACACCGGUGGCGAAGGCGGUUCUCUGGGCCUUACCUGACGCUGAGGAGCGAAAGCGUGGGGAGCGAACAGG
rnacentral:rRNA from 1 species